AUUGAACGCUGGCGGCAUGCCUUACACAUGCAAGUCGAACGGCAGCACGGGAGCAAUCCUGGUGGCGAGUGGCGAACGGGUGAGUAAUAUAUCGGAACGUGCCCGGUCGUGGGGAUAACGUAGCGAAAGCUACGCUAAUACCGCAUACGAUCUACGGAUGAAAGCGGGGGAUCGCAAGACCUCGCGCGAUUGGAGCGGCCGAUAUCAGAUUAGGUAGUUGGUGAGGUAAAGGCUCACCAAGCCGACGAUCUGUAGCUGGUCUGAGAGGACGACCAGCCACACUGGGACUGAGACACGGCCCAGACUCCUACGGGAGGCAGCAGUGGGGAAUUUUGGACAAUGGGCGCAAGCCUGAUCCAGCAAUGCCGCGUGCAGGAUGAAGGCCU
rnacentral:rRNA from 1 species